rnacentral:rRNA from 1 species
ACUAAUACCGCAUAUACUCUUGCUACACAAGUGGCGUAGAGGAAAGGAGCAAUCCGCUUUACGAUGAGCCUGCGGCCUAUUAGCCUGUUGGUGGGGUAACAGCCUACCAAAGCUACGAUAGGUAGCCGACCUGAGAGGGUGACCGGCCACAUUGGGACUGAGAUACGGCCCAGACUCCUACGGGAGGCAGCAGCUGAGAAUCUUCCACAAUGGACGAAAGUCUGAUGGAGCGACAUCGCGUGAGGGAUGAAGGCCUUCGGGUUGUAAACCUCGGAAAUUAUCGAAGAAUGAGUGACAGUAGAUAAUGUAAGCCUCGGCUAACUACGUGCCAGCAGCCGCGGUAAUACGUAGGAGGCAAACGUUGCUCGGAUUUACUGGGCGUAAAGGGUGAGUAGGCGGACUUAUAAGUCUAAGGUGAAAGACCGAAGCUCAACUUCGGGAACGCCUCGGAUACUGUAAGUCUUGGAUAUUGUAGGGGAUGAUGGAAUUCUCGGUGUAGCGGUGGAAUGCGCAGAUAUCGAGAGGAACACCUAUAGCGAAGGCAGUCAUCUGGGCAUUUAUCGACGCUGAAUCACGAAAGCUAGGGUAGCAAACAGGCUUAGAUACCCUGGUAGUCCUAGCCGUAAACGUUGUACACUAGGUGCUUCUAUCUAAAUAGGAGUGCCGUAGCUAACGUCUUAAGUGUACCGCCUGAGGAGUAUGCCCGCAAGGGUGAAACUCAAAGAAAUUGACGGGUCCCCGCACAAGUGGUGGAGCAUGUGGUUUAAUUCGAUGAUACGCGAAAAACCUUACCUGGGUUUGAAUUGUAAGAUGAAUGAUUUAGAGAUAAGUCAGACCGCAAGGACGUUUUACAUAGGUGCUGCAUGCCUGUCGUCAGCUCGUGUCGUGAGAUGUUGGGUUAAGUCCCGCAACGAGCGCAACCCUCACCCUUUGUUGCUACCGAGUAAUGUCGGGCACUCUUAGGGGACUGCCUACGUUCAAGUAGGAGGAAGGUGGGGAUGAUGUCAAGUCCUCAUGGCCCUUAUGUCCAGGGCUACACACGUGCUACAAUGGCAAGUACAAAGAGAUGCGAGACCGCGAGGUGGAGCGAAACUCAAAAAAGUUGCCUCAGUUCGGAUUGGAGUCUGAAACUCGACUCCAUGAAGUUGGAAUCACUAGUAAUCGUAGAUCAGAACGCUACGGUGAAUACGUUCCCGGGGAUUGUACACACCGCCC